AUCACAUACAUCAGACGAUUCUUUAGCAUUCUGCAUGCAAUUAAAAUAAAUCCUAUGAUUCACCAAGACAAAAAUAAAAUUAUAUUAAAUUUAAAUAAUGUUAAAUUACUCUGUUUUGCCUCUG